rnacentral:lncRNA from 1 species
CUCAUUGCAUAUUUUCCUCCCUGGCAUCAGGUUUGUGAAUGUAUGAGCUGUGCUGUCAUAUGAUGUCUCUCACCUGGUUUAAUACAUUCCUAAUGCUGUCCUGGAAUUCUUAAUACCUUUUCUUUUUCAAGAACCUCCACAAAAUCCCCAAACAAAGGGGUUUGGGGAGCUUCCAGGGUGGUAGAAGCAUCCACAUGAAGUGGGGAGCUGUGCACUGAGAGGACAGGGAAACUCCACACUUGUUUCCCCAAUACCUUCUCCUAUGCUUCUCUUGCAUUUGGCCACUCCUGAGUUU